AUUAGUCUGCGUCUCACUGU
rnacentral:miRNA from 1 species